AUGGGAUUGCUGAAGGAGGGGCUUGUGCCAAAAGAUGCUGUACUACCAAAUGCUGGGGAACCACCAAAAGAUGGGGGACUCCCAAACACUGGAGGGCUGCCAAAGCCCCCUGCAUGAAGGAAAACAUAAAAAAAAAAUAACCAACAUACCAGACUGAGCGGGUUGCCCAAACCCUCCAGUUGAAGCAGUGGAGCCGAAUGGGUUCUUGUUGGCGGCAUCCUCGCUCGGUUUGCCCCCGAGGCCGCUGAAGAAUCCUCCAGAAGAUGAACCUGCUGCAUUGGCUGAAGCUGAACCGAACAAACUGCCCCCAGAUGACGACUGCAGGUGUUUUUCCCAUUCCACGUCUAAGACGUCGUUAACGUCUUCCACAGCAGAUGUGACAUACUGGGAGGAAGUUCUUGACGUGAAUGAGGAGAGAUGUGACUAGACAGCAGCAGCAACUCUACGUGCGUGUCUGCCAGACUGGGCCGGUGAGGAUGAAACAGUGCACUGAGACGGUAGCUUAUCACUAUUCUUUACACACGCUGCAACGGAGCACUGCAGUGGAUGCUGUGCGCACAAAGCAGCCUGAUGGAUUUCGGUUUCAUCUGAUCAAUAGAGGUGUGUUCAGCAAAAACAUUUCGGAGACGAAACAAAGAGGUGAUGUAUUGCUGCGCGAGAGAUGAACUGAGAUGAAGUGGAAAUAGUUUGCAGAGUUUCUAAGACGAGACUAACAGGCAGCGCUUUUGCAGAUCAACUUGAGAAACAAACGGUCGCUUCGUUGCGGCAGGCAGACACAAAUAUCACCUUUAAGAACGGCCUUGAAACUUUCCGUUUUCGAUUAUGACAUCUGGCCACGUCACAUCUGAGAGGCUUCGAAAACAAUGGGGAGACGCAACAAUAGAUUCUGAGAACCUCUCCUUUUUCUUUCCUGUUUGUGCGCCUUUCCUACACUGUCAACCUCCAGACACUAAAAGCAGAUGAACACCCAUCGUGAGACGUGAUUCUGCUUGUUUAGAGAGUUCUCCACUCUGUUGUUGCUUUGUGCAGCCUCUAGACAAAAGAUGAAAUGCAAGCCACUGUCUGUGGAGUUGCCCAAAUAAAGAUUUUCUUCUUUGUCAUCAACACUAAUCCACUUUUUUUUUUUUAUCUAAUUCCAGAAAAAUAUAAUCCUAAAUGCAUUUUUAUGUUAUAGAUUGCAACCUACUCAAUAGAGAAUGUACAAUCCAACACUGCAU